GGCGUUGACGGGUAGCCGGCCUGAGAGGGUGACCGGCCACAUUGGGACUGAGAUACGGCCCAGACUCCUACGGGAGGGCAGCAGUGGGGAAUAUUGCACAAUGGGCGCAAGCCUGAUGCAGCGACGCCGCGUGCGGGAUGGAGGCCUUCGGGUUGUAAACCGCUUUUGUUCAAGGGCAAGGCACGGUUUCGGCCGUGUUGAGUGGAUUGUUCGAAUAAGCACCGGCUAACUACGUGCCAGCAGCCGCGGUAAUACGUAGGGUGCGAGCGUUAUCCGGAUUUAUUGGGCGUAAAGGGCUCGUAGGCGGUUCGUCGCGUCCGGUGUGAAAGUCCAUCGCCUAACGGUGGAUCUGCGCCGGGUACGGGCGGGCUGGAGUGCGGUAGGGGAGACUGGAAUUCCCGGUGUAACGGUGGAAUGUGUAGAUAUCGGGAAGAACACCAAUGGCGAAGGCAGGUCUCUGGGCCGUCACUGACGCUGAAGGAGCGAAAGCGUGGGGAGCGAACAGGAUUAGAUACCCUGGUAGUCCACGCCGUAAACGGUGGAUGCUGGAUGUGGGGCCCUUUCCACGGGUCCCGUGUCGGAGCCAACGCGUUAAGCAUCCCGCCUGGGGAGUACGGCCGCAAGGCUAAAACUCAAAGAAAUUGACGGGGGCCCGCACAAGCGGCGGAGCAUGCGGAUUAAUUCGAUGCAACGCGAAGAACCUUACCUGGGCUUGACAUGUGCCGGAUCGCCGUGGAGACACGGUUUCCCUUCGGGGCCGGUUCACAGGUGGUGCAUGGUCGUCGUCAGCUCGUGUCGUGAGAUGUUGGGUUAAGUCCCGCAACGAGCGCAACCCUCGCCGCAUGUUGCCAGCGGGUGAUGCCGGGAACUCAUGUGGGACCGCCGGGGUCAACUCGGAGGAAGGUGGGGAUGACGUCAGAUCAUCAUGCCCCUUACGUCCAGGGCUUCACGCAUGCUACAAUGGCCGGUACAACGCGGUGCGACACGGUGACGUGGGGCGGAUCGCUGAAAACCGGUCUCAGUUCGGAUCGCAGUCUGCAACUCGACUGCGUGAA
rnacentral:rRNA from 1 species